GUUGUGGCCACGAGGAACUGCUUAAAAAAGGCUGGGUUCAUUCCUUACAUCAGCCAGAGUGCACAUUAUAGAACUUGUUCCCCAUCUGGACAGAGGUCUUGAUUUCAAACGAAAGACUCUGGAGAAUGAAUUUCAAGUAUGGGACAAGGAAAAAUUGGCAGUAGUUUCUUUUUUAAUGGAAAUGCUUCCAGAUGCUCAAAUACUAGAGAGGAGGUUGCUGCUUAUAGGAACCACACAGAAAAUCAUCCAGGAAUAAUUUACAUCCAAAUGAAGUGAACUGGUUCGGCAGUGUCUCUGCAUCAUUGCUGAUAUGUGGUGCCCCAAACCUGGAAAGGACACUGGGUUCCUCCCAAAAGGUCCUGUGCCUCG
rnacentral:lncRNA from 1 species